rnacentral:rRNA from 1 species
UACGUAGGGUGCGAGCGUUAAUCGGAAUUACUGGGCGUAAAGGGUGCGCAGGCGGUUUUGUAAGUCAGAUGUGAAAUCCCCGAGCUCAACUUGGGAACUGCGUUUGAAACUACAAGACUAGAAUAUGUCAGAGGGGGGUAGAAUUCCACGUGUAGCAGUGAAAUGCGUAGAGAUGUGGAGGAAUACCAAUGGCGAAGGCAGCCCCCUGGGAUAAUAUUGACGCUCAUGCACGAAAGCGUGGGGAGCAAACAGG